rnacentral:rRNA from 13 species
CCGGCUAACUCCGUGCCAGCAGCCGCGGUAAUACGGAGGGUGCAAGCGUUGUCCGGAUUUAUUGGGUUUAAAGGGUACGUAGGUGGGCUAUUAAGUCAGUGGUGAAAGCCUGCAGCUUAACUGUAGAAUUGCCAUUGAUACUGAUAGUCUUGAGUUUGGUCGAGGUAGGCAGAAUUUAUGGUGUAGCGGUGAAAUGCAUAGAUACCAUAAGGAAUACCGAUAGCGAAGGCAGCUUACUGGGCCGUUACUGACACUAAUGUACGAAAGCGUGGGGAGCGAACAGGAUUAGAUACCCUGGUAGUCCACGCCGUAAACGAUGCUCACUCGAUGUUGG